GGAGUAGAUCGCGACGGGGUCCGUGGCGUAGACGCUGCUGGAGAUGGUGGGCUUGGACCACAUGGACUUGACGGAGAUGGUGCCCAUGUCGUCCGUGAGGUUGAGCGUGUAGGGCGCCCCCGCGAAGGUGUUCACCGGGUUGAGCACGCUGAGGUUCCUGAACUGGGCCAGCGAGUAGAACUCGGGUAAGGCGUGGUACAUGAGCAGCAUCUUCAGCUGGUCGCUCGUGAGGUUGGAGAAGGUGGAUUUCUUGAGCGCCGCGAACGCCGAGUCCUUGGGGACGAAGAUGGUGAUGCCCUCCUUGGUCUUGUUGGCCUGCCUCUGGAAGGUC
rnacentral:lncRNA from 1 species